GCUUGAACAUAAAGAAAUGUGAAUUACUUGCUCUCAGAUAUUGUGACAUCCCUUCUAUUUGCAAUAUACCUGUAAAAGACACUAUUAUGUACUUGGGAAUCAUUACUAAAGAUAGAGAAGCCAGAUGCAAUCAGAACUUUGACUUCAUUAUUGACAAAACCCAGAAAAAUUGAACCAAUGGCUACAAAGAGAUUUGUCAUUGAAAGGCAGAAUUUUGCUAACCAAAGCUGAGGGAAUAUCACAUCUUACAUAUGCUGCUUUAUCUCUUGAUGUUAACAAAAGGGUCUUAAAAGAUAUUGACAAGAUGUUAUAUAACUUCAUAUGGAGGAACAAAAACCACUAUAUUAAAAAAAAAUCAGUAAUAAACUCAUAUGAUAAGGGCAGCCUUAACUUUUUGGACUUUUACACUUUAAAUAAUACUUCCAGAAUAAAUUUGCUUAAAUUAUAUUCAUUACAAACCCAUUUUCAAUUUGGAACUUAAUACCAAAUUUUAUUUUCUCUAAAUUAGGAGGCCUGAAUUUCCUUUUAUUUUGUAACUACAGUGUUGAAAAAAUCCCCUCAAAACUGUCCAACUUUCAUAAACAGAUGCUUCUCUUUUGGUCAUUAAUCUACAAACAUAAUUUUCCCCCACAUAGCUACUACAUAUGGAACAAUAAAGACAUCAUAUACAGAAAGAAAUCCUUAUUUUAUCCUUUUUGGUUUACUCACAACAUACGGUAGAUGUAAUUUGCUCUUUCUGUGCCCUGAAGACGUAUUUCAUUUAUUUUGCCCCUUCUCCACCAAAUUAUGGGAAGAUAUUUUCAACUUGAUUUCUACUGAUUUCACUGACUAUCCAUCUGCCAAAAAAACCCAAAUUUUUAUCAUUAAUCUUAUUAUAUAUUUAGCCAAAUGGCAUAUCCACAAAUGUCGAUGAACUAAUAAGAAACCACUUCUUUCUGUCUUUGACAAUAGGGUCAAACAAUAUAUUAAAACUAUUAGACAUUCCACUAAUAUGAAAGCCAUUAAGACUCUGGAUUUGUGUGCUCUUUUUAAUAUAUUUGUGUUGUGUAAUGUUCUGAGUGCUGCCCCUGAAUGUUUGUAGCCCGCUGGCGAUUGUCUUUGUGUUGCGCUGUACUGCAUUGCUUUUUUAAAUAAAGGUUUCUACAAAAAAAAAAAAAAAAAAAAAAACUCGAAAUGGAUGACGGUAAGCAGUAGGGCCCAACUCAUCUAUCGGCCACUAUAGCCCUUUUCAGAAUAAUCGUCAUCUGCCGGACUUUUGCCGAUUAAACGCCGACAUAUUCUUAAUUUCUCAUAAAACAGUAAAUGCUGUUAAGUGUCGGAGUUGCGCAGAAUGAUGUCCGUUUGUCCAAUGCAUGGAGCUCUGACUCCAUUCAGUCCUCACCGCUGUUUUCUCAGUAAUACAGCAGUAAGCUACAGCCAGGCAACGUUACAGGAGUGGGCUGAGCCGACAGAUGCUGUGCAGGACUUCAUGUUGCAGUGAGAGAUGACAGACUGAAGCUCGAAGUGAAGCCAACACAGACUGCAGCAGAUCUCUCACCUCUUCGUCCACUUUCUCUUCCUCGUCUCCUCUUCUUUCAGCCUGGUGAGGUGACACCGAGCUGCCACCUCCCACUGCCUGGUCACACCUCUGCCCCCUGCUGGGCCGAACCCGCCACGACACCCAGACACCCUCCAUCCUCCUCCAUCCUCCUCCAUCCUCCUCCAUCCUCCUCCAUCCUCCUCCAUCCUCAUCAUCAUCAUCCUCCUCCACUGGCAUCAGACCUCAAAGUCAACUAGCCACAAACUCAACAGGAAACUCGGACUUCCAGUCGUCAUUUGUUUGGUUUCCUGCCAUCCUGUGUUUGCUCACCGACUCUGUAAGUAGCUUUUGUUUGAUUUAAUUUCCUUUUACCUCCCCACUGCUGCACUUGUUUCCUCAUAAACACUCCACAACAGAAU